GACAGAGGGGGCAAGCGUUGCUCGGAAUUACUGGGCGUAAAGGGCGCGUAGGCGGGCUGGCAAGUCGGUCGUGAAAUCCCUCGGCUCAACCGAGGAACGGCGAUCGAUACUGCUGUGCUUGAGGAUUGCAGAGGAGACUGGAAUUCCCGGUGUAGCGGUGAAAUGUGUAGAGAUCGGGAGGAACACCGGUGGCGAAGGCGGGUCUCUGGGCAAUUCCUGACGCUGAGGCGCGAAAGCGUGGGGAGCAAACGGG
rnacentral:rRNA from 1 species